GCUCAAUUCAAAAACAACGCCGUCGUUGUUUUCCAGUAAUUUCCACAGCCAGGGCCAGAUUAAGGUGGGAGCAAUGAGGCUGCAGCGACUUCUGGGAGAGGCAGAGAGAUGCUGUGCGCCCUUUUUUGUUUAAUGAAUCAGAAAGCCAGGCUUUUUAACAGCUUGUUCAUGGGAUUUGGUUCAUUAGAAGUCACCUUGACAUGAAACACGCUCCAUCCACUACAGUUCUGCGUUGGACAUUCAUGUUCCGGUAGGACAAAGAAAGCCCGAGGCCUCACCGAUAUAAACAAACGCCAUGACGGCUACAGGAAGCACGCACUUCCGGGUCUGUUUAUCCCCUC